rnacentral:rRNA from 1 species
CCUACGGGAGGCAGCAGUAGGGAAUCUUCCACAAUGGGCGAAAGCCUGAUGGAGCAACGCCGCGUGGGUGAAGAAGGUCUUCGGAUCAUAAAACCCUGUUGUUAGAGAAGAAAGUGCGUGAGAGUAACUGUUCACGUUUCGACGGUAUCUAACCAGAAAGCCACGGCUAACUACGUGCCAGCAGCCGCGGUAAUACGUAGGUGGCAAGCGUUAUCCGGAUUUAUUGGGCGUAAAGGGAACGCAGGCGGUCUUUUAAGUCUGAUGUGAAAGCCUUCGGCUUAACCGGAGUAGUGCAUUGGAAACUGGGAGACUUGAGUGCAGAAGAGGAGAGUGGAACUCCAUGUGUAGCGGUGAAAUGCGUAGAUAUAUGGAAGAACACCAGUGGCGAAAGCGGCUCUCUGGGCUGUAACUGACGCUGAGGUUCGAAAGCGUGGGUAGCAAACAGGAUUAGAUACCCGAGUAGUC